rnacentral:rRNA from 1 species
AACGAACGCUGGCGGCAGGCCUAAUACAUGCAAGUCGAGCGCCCAGCAAUGGGAGCGGCGCACGGGUGCGUAACGCGUGGGAAUAUGCCUCUUGGUACGGAACAACCCAGGGAAGCUUGGGCUAAUACCGUAUAAUAUCUUCGGAUCAAAGAUUUAUCGCCAAGAGAUUAGCCCGCGUCUGAUUAGCUAGUUGGUGGGGUAAAGGCUCACCAAGGCGACGAUCAGUAGCUGGUCUUAGAGGAUGAUCAGCCACACUGGAGCUGAGACACGGUCCAGACUCCUACGGGAGGCAGCAGUAAGGAAUAUUGGAUAAUGGGGGAAACCCUGAUCCAGCCAUGCCGCGUGAGUGAUGAAGGUCUUAGGAUUGUAAAGCUCUUUCACCGAUGAAGAUAAUGACGGUAGUCGGAGAAGAAGCCCCGGCUAACUUCGUGCCAGCCGCCGCCGUAA